UACAGAGGGUGCGAGCGUUAAUCGGAAUUACUGGGCGUAAAGCGUGCGCAGGCGGUGAUGUAAGACAGGUGUGAAAUCCCCGGGCUUAACCUGGGAACUGCAUUUGUGACUGCAUCGCUGGAGUGCGGCAGAGGGGGAUGGGAUUCCGCGUGUAGCAGUGAAAUGCGUAGAUAUGCGGAGGAACACCGAUGGCGAAGGCAAUCCCCUGGGCCUGCACUGACGCUCAUGCACGAAAGCGUGGGGAGCAAACAGG
rnacentral:rRNA from 1 species